CCAGGUGAUCCUACCUCUAGUUCCAUGUAGUGUCCCAGCCAGGUGAACCUACCUCUAGUUCCAUGUAGUGUCCCAGCCAGGUGAACCUACCUCUAGUUCCAUGUAGUGUCCCAGCCAGGUGAUCCUACCUCUAGUUCCAUGUAGUGUCCCACCAGGUGAUCCUACCUCUAGUUCCAUGUAGUGUCCCAGCCAGGUGAACCUACCUCUAGUUCCAUGUAGUGUCCCACCAGGUGAUCCUACCUCUAGUUCCAUGUAGUGUCCCAC